GUUGAGCUUCUGCUGGUAGACAGAUGGCCUUAAGUUCUCCUGCAAAAUGUCUUGAUAAACUUGGGAAUAAAUUUUUCCUUUGAUGAUAGCAAUCCGUCCAGGCCCUGACGCAGCAAAGCAGCCCCAAACCAUGAUGCCCCCACCACCGUACAUCACAGUUGGGAUGAGGUUUUGAUGUUUGUGUGCUGUACCUUUUUUCGCCACACAUAGUGUUGUGUGUUUCUUCUAAACAACUCAACUUUGAUUUCAUCUGUCCACAGAAUAUUUUGCCAGUACUGCUGUCGAC